UGGAAGCACAGGAGGAGGUAGGUGCAGGCAAGGCAAUGCGACGAAAUGGAAGGUGUGGACAGGAAUUCUGAUGAUGAGAUGAGGAGGUUAGGGACAGGAGUAGUUGUCAGACGUGGGGAGACAGAUGAAGCCAAAGGGCCGUGGUCCAGAAUCUAAUCCGUGUGCAGUACUUUCUUCGAUUUGAUGGGGAGCCACAAAGUCCACAAGGGAUAGUGACAGUGAAUAGUAGUGGUUGCCUGCCUCAUCGUCAGAUCAGAUAAAUUCAAGGAGCUAGCUAGUUGCUCACUUUGUAAGGCCGAAGCAGCAGAAAGUGGUGAAAACGAGUCAAUAAUGCAGCUGCAGCAGAGGUACGACGAGUACAGGAAUGGAAUUGGAUGGAAAUAGGCACCAGAUCCCUAUUCCCCACAGGAGUCAGGGCAGAAAGAAAGGAAACAAGAGGAGAGGACAUGGGCAGAGACUGCAAGUAACAACUGAGAGGACAAAUGAAGGGAUGGAUUAUGGAUAGAGAGUACUGUGAGUGAGCAGACCAUACCUUGUGUUGGAUCCAAGAAGAUGCUCUGCUGGGCCGCCGCCGCCGCCUCCUCCUCUACUGCUGCUGAUGCUGCUGCGUUGGAGUCGGAGUCGGAGGACUCCAUCUCCAGGUCCAGCAGCAGCAGCGAGUGGUUGGCAGAUGGCAAGCCACCUAUUAUUGCCGGUACCAGCUGCAUGAACAAGUAGUUCGUUUUGGAGUAAUAUAAUAGAAGCCAAGCGAACAAGCAUAACGACGUUGACGAGAUAUUUUCCUAUCUCAAUUCACAUGUUCUUCACGUACGUACUACAGCUGUACGCAGCAAAUGUGACAUGAUAACUUUUUUAUUCAAGAAUUCUAAGCUGAGAGAUGUGACAUCUUUCGUUCUUGAGUUUCA